UGACGCUGGGCGAGGUCUGGGCGCUGCCGGCCUUCCUGCGGCUGGAUACCCUGGAGCGGCUGGUCACGGCGGCCGGCGGCCC
rnacentral:tRNA from 1 species